UAUUUUAAAGAGAGCUUCGGUGCCCGUGCAAAAUCGGGUGAAACGGGAACGCGGUCGGCGAAUUUCGCUCAUGCCGCGGCUGCCCCCGCAACUGUAGGCGGAUGCUUCGAUCAAGAGUCACUGGGCCGGUGCGGUUCGGGAAGGCGGUCGAGGCGAUAUCCGCAAGCCAGGAGACCGGCCGGAGCCGCGCGUUAUCA
rnacentral:ncRNA from 2 species